GCCUUCGUGGUGUAGCGGUCAGCACGCUCGACGCGUAACCGAGAGGUCCGUGGUUCAAUUCCCAACGAAGGCG
rnacentral:tRNA from 1 species